rnacentral:rRNA from 1 species
CCAGCACCUGCGGUAAUUCCAGCUCCACUAGCGUAUAUUAAAGUUGUUGCAGUUAAAAAGCUCGUAGUUGAACUUCUGGUUGUGCGCAGAGGCCGGUCUCCGAUCGCCCUGGGUGCAGCCAUCCGUCUGCAAACCUUUACAGCCUUAACUGGUUUGUCUAGGGGAGCAGGCAUUUUACUUUGAAAAAAUUAGAGUGUUUAAGGCAGGCUCUCGCCGCUGAAUACAUUAGCAUGGAAUAAUGGAAUAGGACGCCUUGUCCAUUUGAUUGGUUAUUGGACUUGCGUAAUGAUUAAUAGGGACAGUUGGGGGCAUUAGUAUUUAAUUGUCAGAGGUGAAAUUCUUGGAUUUAUUAAAGACUAACUUAUGCGAAAGCAUUUGCCAAGGAUGUUUUCAUUAAUCAAGAACGAAAGU